AUGCGAGCUUUCACUGGUGUCCCAAGCCAACCUAGCCCCUCCUUCCAGGGUGUUUGCCAGGACCUAAUGCACCCAGGCCGCCCCAUGCUGGGCAGGCGUACGGGCGGCGCCAGGCUGUCUCAGGCCUCCCUGGGAAUGGCCAGGCCCCGGGGUGGAUGCGAGGGUCCGAGGUGCCCACCAGAGAAACCAAGGUGGCCCUCCAACAAAGGCGAAGUGAAGUGGGAGCACCUGGAGCUCCCCAGGCCCAGCUUUCCUUCCGAUUCCGUGGCAGGCCCCUCUCUGAAUUGCCCACCUGCCUGGGUCCUGGCUCCCGUCUGGGCCCCUGGCCAUGUGGCCCCUCCUCCUUGGCUCUGUGCCAUGGUUCUGUCCCCGGUGACAAACCCAUCAUGGGACUGUAGCCCUUUGCACCUGCUGGGCCCUGCACUCUGUAGGGUAGGGCGGGAGGGUGGUACUCACUGCAGGGCAUUUGCUAGUGGUGUCACUGUUCCCUUCCAGGCCGGGAACCAGGAGGCCGAGAAGGGAAUCGGGGCCAGUCUGGCCCACACGUGGACAGCAGCGGUGAGCAGCAAGGCCGGUCCAAGCUGUUUCGCUUUGGGCUCCUGGCCUUCCUCCUGGGACCCUCGGCGGGAGUCUGUUCUCUGCCCGUCAGCUGCCCAGGGGCUGCCGACCUGGGGCCUGGAUGCUGAGGACCUUGGAGCCCACAUGUCCAUCGGCCCAGCGGGAGCCUGAGCCCUCCUCCCUCCCAGCCCAGGACUGGGGAAGUGAGGACUAACAAUGUUCUGGAUCAGGGCAUAAGGGCAGAGGUCUGAGGCUGGAGGACGUGUCCCAGGUCAGCCCAGGGGGGCCUCAGGGGCUAUUGUUGUGAGUAGCGGUCAUUGAUUGGUCGGUGCCCAGCAUUGUGUCAAUAAAUUGUACCUGUUAUAUACACACCUC
rnacentral:lncRNA from 1 species